CUGCUGUUAAAAAUGUUUGUCUUGGUGAUUUCCGUGUUUUGGGAAUGCUUUCCAGCUUUUGCAUUUUCUCCUUUUUCCACACAAAUCCCAGGUGCUGAAAUGUGAAACCCUGCUGAGGGAUUUCCUCGGGAGCGGGAUGUGUCGCUUUAAGAAAAAAUCAACUCGGCUCUGAACUACCCAAAAAACCCUGCCAUUUCCAGCCUGGGCUUGAUUAAUGAUUUUUCUAUCUAAUAAAAGGGCUGUUUCCUACCCAUCGUUAUGCAUAUUCAUUGCGAGUAAACAUUUUUAGUGUCUACACUUAAUCUCUUCCACUGGCAAUUACUGUUCUCUGCUGUUUUGUAAUGCAGAAGGGCCAACGCUUUUCCCUUCUAAUAACAGCUGGGUCGCAGA